CCAGCGACACAACAAAAGCCUGUCAGGUAGCAGACAGAAAAGAGCCAUUUCAAAAGGAGGAAGAACCCCAAGGAUGCAGUCUGGACUGCUUGUUCUCUUGUGCACUGUCUUGGCCUUCAUCUGCUUUGGUUCCAGCAAUACCCAGAGCGUCUCUCAACCUGUAAGUGUUAUGUAUACGCAAGAGGGAGAAUCUGUGACCUUGGACUGCAAAAUCACAGUCAGUUAUGCUUACUACAAUAUGUACUGGUAUCGACAACUUCCCAAUGGAGAGAUGACUCACAUCAUUCAAAUAUAUUCUGGAAGCAGGAACUCAAGAGAAGGGCGAUAUUCUGUGGAGUUUCAGAAACCAACCCUAACACUCAGCAUCUCGGCCUUGACACCUAGAGACUCAGCUCUAUAUUUCUGUGCAAUAGUAAAGUUAUCCCACAGUGAGAGAAGUGAUGGAAAGAGCCUUACAAAAACCCCCAGGGCUCAGUGUGAGCCAGCCAGCUGCUCCAAGAGCUUAGAAGAGAACAACCCGCAGGACAGGAAGAGGGUAGACAGAAGGCAUGGCGAGUGGCACUGGUGGGUCUUGAGAGGAAGCUAA